rnacentral:snoRNA from 1 species
UUGCUAUGAUGAUAAUCCAGUUUAUUGAUGGCAUUUACAAAAUGCUUGAUGAUUCUUCGGCAAUCUUGUCGAAUCUGAGCGGUUAGCUGAGCAA